GGGGGACAGGUGGUCUGCACCAACCCUGCACACAGUGAAGUUCAAGAAUGUAUGGCAGAGCUGAAGAGCCGAAACAACAACGUGUCCUAUCUGGAUAAACUGCCAUCUUCAGGGCUGGCACUCAGAGGGGAAAUGCUUCCAGAUCCACCUGACAAAGUGCCUGGAAAAGCAGCAGAUGAUAUCCCAAGUCCUUGGGCCUCUAAAUCUCAGAGGCAGAUUCAGAAGAAUCCUCUGGUGUCUGGCUUCAGACUGGCCCAGCCCUGACAGUUGCAGCCACUUGGGGAGUGAACAAAGCCUUGGAAGGCAGCCAUGGAAGGCCCAAGUCCUAGGGCCUCUGCACCCACAUGGGAGACCUUGAAGAUACGCCUGGCUUUGGAUCACUUCAGCUCUGGUAUUGCAGUCCUUUGUGGAGUUACUGGUGGAUGAAGAUCUUCCUCUUUAUAUCUCUACAAAUCUCUCUCUUCCUCUCCUCUUCUCUCUAAAUCUGCUUCUCAGAUAAAAGUAAAUACAUUUGUUUAAAAUAAUGAAUUGCUCUGUUUUGGGUAUAACAUUAAUGCAUCUAAUAAAGAAUAUCCAGCCUCAUUUUA